GAUGAAGAACGUAGCGAAAUGCGAUAAGUAGUGUGAAUUGCAGAAUUCAGUGAAUCAUCGAAUCUUUGAUCGCACAUUGCGCCCCUUGGUAUUCCAUGGGGCAUGCCUGUUCGAGCGUCAUUUGUACCUUCAAGCUUUGCUUGGUGUUGGGUGUUUGUCUCGCCUUUGCGUGUAGACUCGCCUUAAAAUAAUUGGCAGCCGGCGUAUUGAUUUCGGAGCGCAGUACAUCUCGCGCUUUGCACUCAUAACGACAGCGUCCAAAAGUACAUUUUACACUCUUGACCUCGGAUCAGGUAGGGAUACCCGCUGAACUUAAGCAUAUCAAUAAGCGGAGGA
rnacentral:misc_RNA from 1 species